GCGUUAGUCGUAUAAUGGUAUUACGUGUGCUUGCCAAGCAUAAGGCGGGGGUUCGAUUCCCUCCUAGCGCA
rnacentral:tRNA from 1 species